AGACAUAUUUGCAGCAUGUGAUCUCGUCACUUUAACACUAUAAGCAUUUGGGAUCAAGAUGAGACUUAGUGGGGACAAACCACGACAAUUCAUGUCGUUCCACUUGAACACUUGUGUUCUUAUCUCCCCCUAACGGCGGGAAUAUUGUCUCAUCAAAGUGACAAUCCGCAAUUUAGCGGUGAAUGAGAUCGCCUGACAAGGUUCCUACAUAUGCGGAUUAUAGGUGGAGGUUCAUAUCCAACCUAAACUUAUUCAUCUCAAAUGACCCAUCAUUGUACGCAGUGGCAAUACGAUUUGGCACCUAGAAAUAACAUCUAGCCGAGCUCAAGGAUUGGAGAUCCGUUUCAAUCCUACCGAGCUCAAGGAUUGCAAUUUCGUGUCAAUCCUGGUACACAGUCACGAGCUGUAGUACAACAAAAUUCAAUGAUGGUGGGUCGUAGAUGAAUAGUAAAGCUGCAUGCAAAUAUUGCAUUUGCAUAGCCCCAAGACGCAAUAGAAAGAGUGGUACGCAUCAAUAAUGUUCGAGCGACAAGCUAAAGUUGCUUGGUCGUAGCCUCGGUGAGACCGUAUUGCGUGUGAACAUGGGGUACAUGACACUUCAACUUACAUCCCGAUGAACUUCUUUAAAGAAUAGGUAGUGAGCCCGUAGAAGUAUAAGCAGUAGAUAAUAGUGUAACACGUGACCAGUGUGUUAACACGUCAACCAACACUAUAAAUCAUAAAAAGGUGUCUGCAAGUUGGUUGUAUCUAUCUACAUAGUUUGAUGUAAGAAUAGAAUGUUCACUUUUGUGUUAUUUAGCGUAGGAGGGUCUCACUCCUUAUUUAGCUAAAGAAUAGGCUUUCAAAACGAGCAAUGAGCAUUGCAGGGGGUCAAUGCGACAUCGAGGAAAGGCCGGUGCACCUCAAUUGCUUGAGGAAUUGACCGGACGACCUCCAGGAAGUUGGAGUCGUGUUCGGGUGACGUCAAUGUCCCCCGGGUCACCACUAUGCUUCAUGGUGAUGCUAGAUCUCGAAUGUCUUCGUUUUGAGCGGAAGAAUGGAUGUCCGUGAGAAUUUCUCAAAAUUUGGACCAUUAUAUCUCUUCCAGGUUGACUAAUUUGGUCAAACCAAAGCCUAUAUGAGUCGGUGUCCCAAAUAUCAUGUUUGGCGACAACAUGGGAUUCGAUAUUCGAAUCGUAGUGACAUACAGUUCACUAGAUUGACUCAUGAAUUUCUCCAAGAUGCGCUUCAGUUCGCAUUCAUAAGGAGGUAUACACAAAAGAAUUCUUGUUCAUUCUCACAAUAUGUUUUCAAAUGAAAACCAUUAGCAUAAAUGUCUUUAAAGCUCAACAUGGUUCCUUAGAAUGUUGUGGAUAGUUUCACUAUCUGGGAAGCACUCAAUGUCUCUAUGAGACAUAACUUUAAGGAGUAGAUAGGCGAGUAAAUAGUUCUACUUGAACCAUUUAGAAGGAUUGAAAGAAGCUACGAAAAGCUGCAAUCCCGAGAGUGCAUAAAAAUUUCCGCGCAGAAUGACCUUUGCGCACUAAAACAGCCAUAACUUCUUCGUUAAAAUAGAUAUGGAUGAACCCUGAAAAGUUCUGAAAACUAGACUCAUAGAGCUUUCCAAUGAUAUAAAGCUCACUGUUGGGUUCGUCCGGAGCUGUUCACAAAGCUCAAACGAAGUUGGCUGUCCAGAAGGGACAGAUUGCUGUUUUUCGCAGAUUUGGCAUGUGCGAAGCUGUGAAGCUUGCAGGUGGCGUGUAGGCUUUUUCCUUAGCCAAAAGUGACGUGUGUAUGAUCAAAACCAAGUCCUUUCGAUCGUUCUAAGGUUGUAAACUCCAUGACUAGUUAGCAAAAGCUCCCUGACAUGAACAUAAACUAACUCAGAGGACCUAGAGGAUCCGAUUAUGAUCAGAUGACCAGGCAUGUCCUUAAUUUCGGUAACUCCAAGUCAGUAUGACCAGGCAUGUCCGUGGAGGGUCGGUAGUGCGAGGCACACUUAAAACCACUAUCUUCUUAAUUUCGGGCAAUUCUAAGACAUCACACUGAGCUUGGAUGAGCCUAGUUGAACAAUUGAUGAUGAAAAAUCCUCUAUAGGGUAGAAGACUUAACCGGAAACAAGUGGGCGAUCAUCCUUGAGGAUGCAGUGCCAUGAGUCACCUUCAAAGGAAGGGACCAAAAUCGGCACAAUAUGCCAUAUUUCUAAGGACGAUGUAAGUGUACAUCUUGAUUGUAAAUCAAUAUGAACCAUAAGAGGAGAAUAGUUUCACUUCGAAAAAUUCUCAAGGCAUUCAUUAUUGCUAAUGUGAGUACAUCGAGGUCUCAAAUAGACAAAGGACGUCGAUACAACGCCUUAGUACAUAUAACUUGGAACGAAAAUCAAUGUCUAGCCGAUGACAUCAAAGUCAUGGGUAGCUAGAGCAGGAUCCGAAUCUUUGAAAUUCGCGAUCAUGAGGAUGACGUUCUUGUCCUCAUAUUGAUUUUCCA
rnacentral:lncRNA from 1 species